GACGAACGCUGGCGGCGCGCUUAAUACGUGCAAGUCGAGCGAGAACCGGAGCUUCGGCUCCGGGGACAGCGGCGAACGGGUGAGUAACACGUGGGUAACCUGCCCUCGGCACCGGGAUAGCCCGGGGAAACCCGGAUUAAUACCGGAUGGCCCUUUCGGUCUUCGGACCGGUCGGCAAAGGUAGCUUCGGCCUCCGGCCGAGGAUGGGCCCGCGGCGGAUUAGCUUGUUGGUGUGGUAACGGCUCACCAAGGCUCCGAUCCGUAGCCGGUCUGAGAGGACGAUCAGCCACACUGGGACUGAGACACGGCCCAGACUCCUACGGGAGGCAGCAGUAGGGAAUCUUGCGCAAUGGGCGAAAGCCUGACGCAGCGACGCCGCGUGCGGGAAGACGGCCUUCGGGUUGUAAACCGCUUUCAGGAGGGACGAAGCCACUCGGGUGAAUAGCCCAGAGGGUGACGGUACCUCCAGAAGAAGCCCCGGCUAACUACGUGCCAGCCGCCGCGGUAA
rnacentral:rRNA from 1 species